UACGGAGGCUCCAAGCGUUAUCCGGAUUUAUUGGGUUUAAAGGGUGCGUAGGCGGUUUAUUAAGUCAGGGGUGAAAGACGGCAGCUUAACUGUCGCAGUGCCUUUGAUACUGAUGAACUUGAAUGUACUAGAAGUAGGCGGAAUGUGACAAGUAGCGGUGAAAUGCAUAGAUAUGUCACAGAACACCGAUUGCGAAGGCAGCUUACUAUGGUAUUAUUGACGCUGAGGCACGAAAGCGUGGGGAUCAAACAGG
rnacentral:rRNA from 1 species